GAUGAACGCUGGCGGCGUGCCUAAUACAUGCAAGUCGAGCGAAUGGAUUGAGAGCUUGCUCUUAUGAAGUUAGCGGCGGACGGGUGAGUAACACGUGGGUAACCUGCCCAUAAGACUGGGAUAACUCCGGGAAACCGGGGCUAAUACCGGAUAACAUUUUGAACCGCAUGGUUCGAAAUUGAAAGGCGGCUUCGGCUGUCACUUAUGGAUAGACCCGCGUCGCAUUAGCUAGUUGGUGAGGUAACGGCUCACCAAGGCAACGAUGCGUCGCCGACCUGGGAGGGUGAUCGGCCACCCUGGGACUGAGACACGGCCCAGACGCCGACGGGAGGCAGCAGUAGGGAAUCUUCCGCAAUGGACGAAAGUCUGACGGAGCAACGCCGCGUGAGUGGUGAAGGCUUUCGGGUCGUAAAACUCUGUUGUUAGGGAAGAACAAGUGCUAGUUGAAUAAGCUGGCACCUUGACGGUACCUAACCAGAAAGCCACGGCUAACUACGUGCCAGCCGCCGCAGUAA
rnacentral:rRNA from 1 species